rnacentral:rRNA from 1 species
UACAGAGGGUGCAAGCGUUAAUCGGAAUGACUGGGCGUAAAGGGCAUGUAGGUGGAUGAUUAAGUUUGAUGUGAAAUCCCUGGGCUUAACCUGGGAAUGGCGUUGAAGACUGAUGAUCUAGAGUUUAACAGAGGGCUGCGGAAUUUCCGGUGUAGCAGUGAAAUGCGUAGAGAUCGGAAAGAACACCAGUGGCGAAGGCGGUGGCCUGGGUUGAAACUGACACUGAGGUGCGAAAGCGUGGGGAGCAAACAGG